rnacentral:rRNA from 1 species
AGCGAACGCUGGCGGCAGGCCUAACACAUGCAAGUCGAACGGACCCUUCGGGGUUAGUGGCGGACGGGUGAGUAACACGUGGGAACGUGCCUUUAGGUUCGGAAUAGCUCCUGGAAACGGGUGGUAAUGCCGAAUGUGCCCUUCGGGGGAAAGAUUUAUCGCCUUUAGAGCGGCCGCGUCUGAUUAGCUAGUUGGUGGGGUAAUGGCCCACCAAGGCUACGAUCAGUAGCUGGUCUGAGAGGAUGACCAGCCACAUUGGGACUGAGACACGGCCCAAACUCCUACGGGAGGCAGCAGUGGGGAACCUUGCACAAUGGGCGAAAGCCUGACGCAGCCAUGCCGCGUGUAUGAUGAAGGUCUUAGGACUGUAAAAUACUUUCACCGGUGAAGAUAAUGACUGUAGCCGGAGAAGAAGCCCCGGCUAACUUCGUGCCAGCCGCCGCGGUAAUAC